GGGGAUUUAGCUCAGCGGAAGAGCACUUGCCUGUCAAGUAAGUGCAAGGCCCUGAGUUCGGUUCUCAGCUCUG
rnacentral:tRNA from 1 species